CUGAGUUCAAGAGGAGCCUGAACUACAUAGGGAGACCCUGUCUCAAAAAAAAAAAAGAAAAGAAAACCGACAUCCUGAUUGGAGCUUCCUGAGGCUGGAUCUGGCUCAGGGCAGGCCUCUCUGGGUGGUCUCUUGGCUCCACAGGGCGGCCUGGGCAGGCUCAGGGGAAGCUGGACUCUAAGAGACAGGGCUAGGAGCAGAGGGUGGUGAGAGCGCUGCCUCUAGGGUGCCACACUGGCCAAGGCCUGUCCCCUGCCCCUCACCAUGCUGCUGUCCCCAGUGCCAGGCUGAGUCUACCUAGACUAAGCCAGCUGGACUGCUACAUCCCUGGCCCACCCCUCCUGCUGAUGCUGUGCUGAGUCUGGGUGGCUUCAACAACGCCCUCCCCAAUGCACGCACGCACACGCAUGCACACGCACACACGCACACUCACCAAGACGACCCCAGACACUGAGCGGGGGCGGAAUGAGGCUGCUCAGUGCCCCUCUGAGGGGUCGGUGCUGGGGGAGGAUCUCCAGCCUGCUGUGUGUUAUGGGUCACAGACCCCCCAGGGCUGCCCCAGCCCAGAGCGUGCUUCUCUGAGCUGGCCCAGCUUCCCCUCCCUUCCCACCACCCCCCAAGCAUCUCCCCAUCAGUCCCAGCAGCAGGAGGGGAGACUGUUUCAAGAGCAGGAGACUGGCAGAGGGCAGGAGACACUGCACCCUGCACCCGAGGGCUGGUAACGCUGCACCCACCGCGGCUGCGUCCUGGCCAGGUGGGAGUGACACCGAGCCAAGGCAGGCAGGGACCUGAGCACAGGAGCACGCACGCGGCUUGCCGAGGGGCACAGCCGCCCAGAGCACGGCGGGGCCCCACCCAGGCGCUGCGGUCCGAGCUGGGAGGACACAGAGCAGCCAGCGCGGGACACGUGGCAGAGCUCUGAGAAAAACCAGGUCCACUUGGUGCGGGGCACAGGCCAGCUGGGGGCCGAGGUGGAGCCAGCCCUGGAGCUGGGGCCUGCAAGUCCCUCCGGCUCGCAUUUGUAGGUGCUGGGGGUCAAACCAGAGCCCCGAGUGCUCUACCCACCGCAUUUCCUGGGGCGCCUCCCACCUGUCCGGAGCCAGAGGGCCUCUCCUCCAAACCUCCACGGUGACUGCUCCGCUCUCUACCCAGACAGUCCUAAGGCUCACACAGCCCACCUGCGCGUCCAGGCAACAGCCCCGCCUGGCACUUCUGCGCCUCCUCAGAGUCCUCAUGCCUGGGCUGUGCCUGCAGCUGAGGGGAACCUUGCUUGUGGGCCUGUGGGUCUAGACAGGAACAAGCCCACCUGAAGCUGCAGGCUGGAGGGGAGAGACCCCCACCUCCUUGCUGACUGUUUCAUAUGUGUAUGUACACACACACACACACACAUACACAUGCACGCAUGCACAGAAGAGCCCGCUCUCCAAGGCCACAGGCCGCCCAUGUCACCUCUGCAGCUUGACUGCUUUAAUGCAUUAAUGGGGAAGCUGGAGGCUCCGGAGCCACAGCACUCCCAGGUGUGUCUAACAAGCGUCUUAUGGCGUCCCUGGGUGGCCCGGGAGACUCGCUCUGAUGGCUCUGAUGGCGGCGGGUCAGGCAGUGGGGCCAGUGAGCCCGAAUGUCCAGCUCCCGGCACGGUGCUUAUGGGUGUAGGAGGGUCACACUCACAGUAAAGGCUGCAAGUCGGUGCUGAGACUACACUGGGCCUUGCUGAAGUCCCCUGUGGUUCUGGCUGUCCUGGGUUCCCUGAGUGGCCUCUCUGCCUCUGCCUGGACCCUCCCAUUGAAAUAGGGUCCUGCUGAUAGGUUUCCCCGAGUCCUGGAGACCAGGUCCUUGUAGGACGUGACAGCCGCCGUGGGGAGCCAUCCUCCAGGUGUGAGCCAUCACUGUUCAGGUGUGCAUAGCAAACCUGCAGGUGCAUCUUGAUGCCUUCACAUAUAGCUAUCUUCUCUUUCAGGAUCAGUGACCCCCUAAGGUCAGGAGCCAAAUUAGAUCACCUCCAGGCCCCAGGCUCUGCCCAGCCAGGAACCCAGUUAAACUCAGGACCUGGUUCCAGGCCCCUAGGAGUUAGGAGACAGAGAGAGGUCGUAGCAACUAGUGGGAGCUGGAGAAUUACUCCUGGCAGUUCUUUCUCCUGUGACUGGCCAGGUCCAGCGUGGCCUCUGGCUCACUAGAAAGGUGAGAGUCAGUAAUUCCCAGCCCCCGCUAACCCACUCCACCCCCAACUGCUGUAGCCCAGGCCUUCCUCCUCUGCCCACCCCCUCCGGCCACAUCCCAAAUCCCCAAUCCCAGCAGCAGACCUCCGUGUUUGCCUGUUGCCAUGGUGAUGGGAUGCACCUUUCUGUUACUAUGGCAACCAGCCAGGGGUUUUUAAAAUUCAGUUGAGGUAAUUUCCACCCCUCAGUCCUCAUCUUCAGACACCUCAUUUCUUCUCUAUUCUUCUCUGAAUGUAAGAAUGUCGGGGGUGCACAACCCCCAGCCUGAAGUGGAGGGUCAGAGGAGCUGGUAGGAAGGCUUCUGCUGCCAGGUCAUCCCUGACUCUGCCACCCAGACUGGACCCUGGGGAACAGGACAGCCUUCUCCUGCCUCCUUCCCCAGGCCCAGGUCUCUGCCAGAAGAUGAGGGCUUGGCAUGGCUGAACAGGCAGAAGCCAGCACACCUGGGGGGUCUGGGAGAGGGCGCAGCCUAUGCAGCUCUGCGCCUGUGUGGGAGCCCUCCUGCAUCCCAGGCCUCAUCUGAGGAUAUCUUGAGAUAUCAGGCCCUAGGACAACAGGGCACAGAUGUUGUUUAUGUUCUGUCCUGGGCCUAAGGAGCUUAGCACAGCAGAACCCUGGGCUGGCCGGAUUUGGGCAGAGAGCAUGUGAAGGAUGGCGGGAAGGGGGUGCAGACCCUGUCCAGCUGCCCACCCUUCCCCAGUAGACUCCUCUACCCUGGGCACCUGCUUCGCUGAAUCUAACCACUGUAAAUUCACGAGGUCCCGCAUCCCCUCCUGUCCCACCCACCCGCAGGCUGGAAGAAGAGAAACUGACACCCAGCACAGACAGGGAGGUCCUCUGCCUCCCCCAAGCAGAGUAGGCUGGGCGUAGAGAUGGGGUCCCAGGCAGCGCGCACGGCCAGCCCUGCCGCGCCUGUAACUCCCGUGCCCUGGCUUGUCUCUCUGCAGUCUGAUCCCACAGGUGGGGCCUCCCUGAGAGAAGAGGUUCAGGCAGGGGAUGGUCCGGAACAGCCCUGCAGUGGGGCUUUUGCCACCACUCUGACCUGCGCUUGUUUUCCCAUCCCAUCAGUAGGCUGGGGGCUGGGGAUUUAGCUCAGCGGCACAGUGCCUGCCUGGCAAGUGUGAGGUUGUGAGUUCAAUUCCCGGUACCGGAAAAGAAAAAAAAAAAAUUAAAUACCAUCAGUAGGCUAGUCAGCCAGGUCCCUACCAUGUGAGAUGUAAAAUAUCACUGUAACUCCAGCAUCCCCGGUCCAGUUCCCCAAAGCCAGGGACUUCAGGGCCCUCAGACGGGUGUCAGAGACAAAGGUCAUAGGGCCAAGAGCUGGGGAUAUAGCUCAGUGGCAUAAAUGCUUGCCUUGCAAGCCUGAGGUCGUGAGUUCGAUUCCUACUAC